rnacentral:lncRNA from 1 species
UGCAGACUGGACACAGAAAAAAAAAAAAAAAAAAGUAUUCAUGCAUGUGUUUAUUUAUUGAAAUAUAUAGGAGGGAAAACCCAAGGGGGGACCAAGAGGACUGCAGACUGGACACAGAAAAAAAAAAAAAAAAGUAUUCAUGCAUGUGUUUAUUUAUUGAAAUAUAUAGGAGGGAAAAACCCAAGGGGGGACCAAGAGGACUGCAGACUGGACACAGAAAAAAAAAAAAAAAAAAAAAAAAAAAAAAAAAAAAAAAAAAAAAAAAAAAAAAAAAAAAAAAAAAAGUAUUCAUGCAUGUGUUUAUUUAUUGAAAUAUAUAGGAGGGAAAACCCAAGGGGGGACCAAGAGGACUGCAGACUGGACACAGAAAAAAAAAAAAAAAAAAAGUAUUCAUGCAUGUGUUUAUGUAUUGAAAUAUAUAGGAGGGAAAACCCAAGGGGGGACCAAGAGGACUGCAGACUGGACACAGAAAAAAAAAAAAAAAAAAAAAGUAUUCAUGCAUGUGUUUAUGUAUUGAAAUGUAGAUACUUUUAUGAGGAAUGUGUCCGUGUACUUACAUUUUUCAAAAGAUAAUCUUCAAUGGUAAGACUUGUUUUAUUCGCGCCUCUUCUGGUGUAGCAUAUAACGUGAGUUUUAUUUAGGCAUAUCAGAUGCAUAGCGUGUGUAAUGUGUAGGCCAUUUCAUUCCGUUCUUGCAAUGUGAAUAAUUCAUUUCAAUAUGCUUAUAUCCCUUUUGUGCGCGCUUGUGCGUUUAACGGGGCUUGUUUGUGUGAGCCAGUGCAUUUAUCAUUCAUCUGUUGAUGCUCGAGUUUAAUAAAGGCAGGCUAUUCUUAAGAAACGUAUGUAAA